AGUAAUUUGAUAACUUGACCGACCACAUUUAACUUUUUAGAUUUGACUCUCUAAUCCCGGUAACCGCUAAUCAGUAAUUUGAACUCAUAGAGUUAGGGGUACUUUAGUAAUUUCCGAUAUAACGGCUAUAUGAACGAGGCCGUGUUUUUGAAAUUUCAGAUGGUUUCCUUUUAUUGAUUUGAUCUCUCUCGCAUAUGAAGAAGAGUCGACUCGUCAAACCAACAUCUCAAGUCAAAUCUCUUCGCUGGGUACAACAAAUCCUUCUUCUAAUCUGUAUCGAUUUCUCCUGAAUUCUUCAAUUUCAACAACGUAAUCUGACCCGACCCGCUUCACCUGAUCGGAUUUGGCAAUCAACGAACAACCAUUCAAUAUCUUCGUCUCGGAAGAUCAAAGAGGAUUCUGAUUCAUGAUCUUCAAGGACAAUAAAUCCAUGGGAUACUAUCAAAGAGAUAGUAAAGGAGAACGUGGUGGUGACUGGUGAAUAAAUCCAUGGGACACUUACUAUCUGUAGGUACUUGCAAAAGCUAUUGACCCUUGCUGUCGCAGUGAAUAUAGGAAGAAACCUGAGCGGCUAAAGUGGAAGAUCUUUCUGGAAUUACGCAAAUAAUCAAACCUCUGGGAGGAUCUGGGGAUGAGGAGUUACUUCGAGCUUUGGCUUCGUUUGUGGUUGUGGAGAGGGAAGGGCAUUGCUUAUGCGGCUUUGUUCCCUUUCUUUGGAGAAAAUUAUGGAGAAGUUUCAGCUAUGGUAGUUGCAUCAGAUUGCCAUAGACAAAACCAGGGAGAUAGAUUGUUAGAUUACAUUGAGAAGAAAGCGUCAAUUCAAGAUGCUUUUUGAAAACGAGAAUUGCAGACUGGUUUGUUAGACGCAAUACCCAAAAUAAGAGAACAAACUUUGUCGAACUGUGGUGUUAAGGUUUAUAUUUCUCAGACCUUCUUUUGUCGAACUUUUGUCUGUCUUAUCUUACCCCCUGAUCUUCUUUUCAAGAGUUCAUUCUCCAUGGAUGUGUAAGUUACUUUCUCUUGGAGCGGGUUCUUAUACAUUGCAGCACUGAUCUCUGAUCUCUAUCAUGUUUGUACGCUAUUGAGUAUCUCUGAACUCGGGCUUCAUGUGAGACUGUUCAAAACUCCAUGUUUAAAGUUUGAUUCUAAUGUUUUUAUUUUCGAUUUUUACCUUGGCAGGAGCGCAUACAAUCAAACGAUGACAUAAACUUGGUGAAAAAAGGUGUGCACAAAGCCAGAAUAAUGCAGCAGCUUGAGUUUAGUAUCUCUGUAGAGAACGAUAUUAAUCCAACUCUUCUUUUCGGGAGUUCAAUCUUCAUGGAUGUGCACCAAAUCCAGGUUCUCUAUCUUCUAUAUGACAUUUAAAAUUCUGUGAAUUGAAUUAUUUUCUUAUGCUCUGGCAUAUAUGAACUCUUUGACAUUCAAGGUAGAGGACAAGUGUUCUAAUGUGUUUUUCCUUGUGCUAUAUCUUCAUGAUUGUCCGAGAUGUCUGGGAAUUGGCUCUGCUAGGAUCUCUUCUGAAGUGACUUCCGCAAAAACUUCGUUUCAAAAAAUGGUGUUAAGGUUGGUAGUAUCUGUGAGCUCCAAACAGCCAUUGCAUUUUGUAUUUGUAAGAGUUGCUGAGAACAAACGGAUAUGCUUUCUAGAGUUCUGCAUUUACCUUUUGUCUCCGAUCUCUUCUGAAGGCUAGAGUUCUGCAUUUACCUUUUGUCUCCGAACUCUUCUGAAGGUUAAAAAGUUCGCUGGCGUUUUCUGCCACAUGACGCAGAUCUCGCAUUGUAUAACUCUCUUUUGGUAGGAGCGAGCUCAUACAAGCAAAUGAACAUAAACUUGUUGCUAAAAUGGUGCACCCAAGGCCAGAACAGUGUAGCAGCUUGAGUUUAGUAUCUCUAGGUGCUAAAUCGCACUGAUCUCAUCGUUCGAUGCACGGAAUUAUAUCAACCCAAACUGUUGUCUGUCUUAUCUUACCCCCUGAUCUUCUUUUCAAGAGUUCAUUCUCCAUGGAUGUGGUGAAAUCAAUAGAAGAAAAAAUUACUGGGGAGGCGAACAAGUGAAGUACUCUCUCACUCUCUUACUUCAAUUUGAUGCAUAAGUCCCACACUUUCGGAAAAUACAAAUACACUAAAACACCACAAAGCAAAAAAAAACAACAACAACAAACUCAACACUCAUAACAAAUACUUAUCAUGCACGAAACUAAAUACAAUACAAACCUCAAACACAACAAACAAAAUCGUCAAGCAAAGCACUCAAAAGAAAAGAUCCACGGACAGCACGCUAUACACAAACACUGAAACACAACUCAAAUUUGUACACGUAACAGACUUUGCAAAAACAUGAAAUAAUUUCUAAUCACGAGAAGUUCCUUCUGGUUUUCCAUACAUAUAAUUUCAAGCAUCAUUGAUCUUUUUAUGAUUGUUGUAUAAUUAUUUGAUUUGUGUAUGAUAAAUGCCAAAAUAUAUAGUUGGAGUUCUCAUUUUUAAAUUAUAUUCGUCCUUCUCAGUUUUUGGUUGACGAGUACUUGUUGCAUUUAAGUUAUUUUGUUUAAAUAUUGUUGUAUAAUGACAGGAUUUAUUGGUUAA